UACCAGCGAAGCCACGGGAGGGAUUGGUUGGAACAGACGCCGACCACUUCGUUCCCCCUCCCCUCCCCCUCGCCCUCGCCCCGGAGAGGAAAGGAAAACCACGCGAACCAACCCAGCCAGAGAGAGAGAGAGAGAGAGAAAGAAGACGAGCCCGACCCAGGCAGGCCCCCCUCGUUCCCACCGGGCGAGAGAGAGAGAGAGAGAGGGAGGGAGGGGGGAGGGAGGGAGGCCUAGCCCUAGCCGGCGGCGGGGGGGCGGGGGGGCGAUGGCCGCGACGGCGAUGCGGGCCCUGGCCCUGGCGGCCUUCUUGUUCUUGGCCGCAUCGGGGGUGGGGGCGCUGCCGAGGUUCGCGGAGGCCCCGGAGUACCGGAACGGGGAGGGGUGCCAGGCGGCGGUGGCGGGGGCGGGGGUGUGCGACCCGGGGCUGGUCCACAUCGCGAUGACGCUCGACGCGCACUACCUCCGGGGCUCCAUGGCCGCCAUCUACUCGCUGCUCAAGCACGCCUCCUGCCCGGAGUCGCUCUUCUUCCACUUCCUCGCCGCGGACGGCGCCGCGAACGGCGCCGCGCCCGGGGUCGGCGAGCUCCGGAGCGCGCUCGCCGCCUCCUUCCCCUCGCUGCGCUUCGAGAUCUACCCGUUCCGCGCCGACGCCGUCACGGGCCUCAUCUCCGCCUCGGUGCGCGCCGCGCUCGAGGCCCCGCUCAACUACGCCAGGAACUACCUCGCCGACCUGCUCCCCAAGUGCGUCCCCCGGGCCAUAUACCUCGACUCGGACGUGCUCGCCGUCGACGACGUGCGCAGGCUCUGGGAGACGCGCCUGCCCGCUGCCGCCGUCGUCGCCGCGCCAGAGUACUGCCACGCCAACUUCUCCCGCUACUUCACCGACGCCUUCUGGUCCGACCCGGACCUCGGCCCGCGCGUCUUCGCCGGCCGACGCCGCGCGCCCUGCUACUUCAACACCGGCGUCAUGGUCAUCGACCUCCGCCGCUGGCGCUCGGGGAACUACCGACAACGCAUCGAGCAGUGGAUGGAGCUGCAGAAGGAGAAGCGAAUCUACGAGCUGGGUUCGCUGCCCCCUUUCUUGCUCCUCUUCGCCGGCGAGGUGGAGGCCGUCGACCACCGCUGGAACCAGCACGGCUUGGGCGGCGACAACGUGCUCGGCAGCUGCCGCCCGCUCCACAAGGGCCCUGUCAGCCUGAUGCACUGGUCAGGCAAGGGCAAGCCAUGGGAUCGCCUCGACGCAGGCAGGCCUUGCCCGCUCGACCAUACUUGGAAAUCAUACGACCUCUACAUUGGCGACGGUGAUGCCUCGCAAGCAUCGGCGCCAUCCUGGGCCUCAUUGUCAUCAUCGGCGUUGCCCGCGGCGGUGUUUUCUUGGUAGACAGAUAUGGGAGGACACACGCUAUAAUUUUUUCAUUUGGUUGUGGUGAUGCAAUCGCGUUUGCGAUGCGUCGCCGCUGCCAUCACAGCUGCCAUCGCAAGCCGGCUGCCGCCUUCGGCUGUACAGCGAGGGGAGGGGCGGUACAUUGCAGCGGCUGCGACGGGAAGAGGAAGAAGAACAGUGCAUAGGGGAAGCAAAUUCUUGUUCAUUCACGAUACAUUUCGGAUUGAUUCAUUAUAUGCUGUGAUCCGGAGGUGGUGAGUAGGGGGUGUUGAAAUUACUUUAUUGGUGGUGUACAAUUCUUGGAUAGGAGAAAGGUUUCACUUUUUUGUCUGUUAGUUCAGGAUUGUUUCAUUUACAUUUACAUGUUUGUUCAGUAAACCAGUAUAAAUAUUGAUUGAAUUGAUUUCAAUAAAACAGGGUGGAUCUUAUUCUUGCUGCA